GUAUCCGCUAUCGUCUUCUUAGGUGAGUGUUGCUUCUCGUGAUCAAAGAUCUGAUUUUCAAUUUUUCCUUUUUGUUUGUUCGUUUUUGUUGAUUUGUUUGUUCAUCUGAGAGAAAAUAACUGUCACAGAUCGGGCUUCAUUUCAUUGUUUUGAUUACUAUUUUCAGCUAUUAAUGAUCGAUUCAGUAAUGCGUUAGAUCUGUUUGGAUUUAGUUGUUUAUAAUGGAAAUGUUUGUUGUAUUUACAGUAACCAAUACUGAGAUACUAGCGAUUACAGUGUUCUGUCACGUGCUAAUAGUGUCGAUUUCUCCUGUUUUCAAGAAUUUUAACAAGUAGUUAGUGCGCGUUUGAUUUAAAUCGUAGUGGUUGAUACAAAGCCAUCAUGCAUGAAGCUUUAGCUUUCAUGUGUAUUGAGGCUUCUUAAUUCUUGCGUUCUACGCUGAUAGUUGUUACCUUAUUGCAGUCGCCUUUUCGCUUUCUAGAUUUUUUUUUUUUU
rnacentral:misc_RNA from 1 species